CACACGACUCUCGGCAACGGAUAUCUAGGCUCUUGCAUCGAUGAAGAACGUAGCAAAUUGCGAUACUUGGUGUGAAUUGCAGAAUCCCGUGAACCAUCGAGUCUUUGAACGCAGGUUGCGCCCGAAGCCAUUAGGCCGAGGGCACGUCUGCCUGGGSGUCAYGC
rnacentral:rRNA from 1 species